CUGGCGGCGAGCGGCGAACGGGUGAGUAAUGCUUCGGAAUCUGCCCAGUAGUGGGGAACAACCAGUCGAAAGACUGGCUAAUACCGCAUACGACCUAAGGGUGAAAGCAGGGGAUCUUCGGACCUUGCGCUAUCAGAUGAGCCUGCGUCGGAUUAGCUAGUUGGUAGGGUAAAGGCCUACCAAGGCGACGAUCCGUAGCUGGUCUGAGAGGAUGAUCAGCCACACUGGAACUGAGACACGGUCCAGACUCC
rnacentral:rRNA from 1 species